AACCAGACAGUCUGCAGUUUAAAGCAGCAGGAGAAGACACCGGAGAGGAGGAAAGAAAGGGAAAGAGUGUGUUAAACGACACACAGGGAGGAACAGGAAGAGGAAGGAAGUGAGAGAAGAGUAGGGGGAUUGGAUGAAGAGGUGGUGAGUGGAAGAAGAGUACGGAGGAGGAAGAAUCAAGAGAGUGGAGGCUGACUGGGAGGGGUGAAGAAGGAGGUGUAGAGAUAGAGGAAUGCAGAGAAAGAAGGGACGCUCCUGCAGAAGAUUAUGAAGGAGCUGCAUCUAUGUGAAGACUCUCGAGUUGUCGUGGAAAGUGUAGCGUGGGACCGGAUUGGACCCUCUGGAGGACCACUUUUGGCCCACAGGCCUCGUGUUGGACACCCCUGGUCGAACAUCCCUCCUACAUUUGUGACUGUGAGGGUCUAUGGUACAGGACAUGGAGCCUUCCAUCAGCGUAGAACUUCCCUCCAGAACCCUUCCAGCCUCCUUUCGGAUGCUUUUUGUGAACGGCGUCCUGCUGUUCUGUGUUUGCAGCUUACAGGGGGUUUGCAUCAUUUGGUGAAUCCUUUGAGGUUCUGGUCCUGAUUGUUGACGAGGAAACACGUCCGCCUACAUCCUGGAGAGCAUUCUUGACUUGCCGUAAAGGGAUUUUUUUCUUUUCUUUUUGCCAUUCAAAUGAUUUUUCCUGACAAGUCUACCAGCUUGUUUGCCAGCAUCUAGUUUUCCAGCGUGCACCUGUUUGUUCUGUUGUAGGAUGAGCCCAGCACUUUAUUCUAACAAACCAACUCCCUCAGACAUUGCUGCUGGAUUUUUACUUUUUUGAGCCUUGUAAUAAUUUCAUUUUGUUGCAUUUCCUUGCCAGAAAUAGACAGAAAACUCCACUUCAAUCUAAACGGCCAGUUUCAACCUACCAUGAAAGCGUUUUCUGCAUAAAUAAAGCUGAAAUGGAAUAAUUUUGUAGCAGCAAGCUACAGAUUUUAAUGUGAAAUCUAUUGUUUUAUUCCAAACUGAAUAUACUGAGUCCAAAUACAAAGUUAAAAAAAAAAAAAUUUUUUAUGUUUAUUAUGAUCAUGUCUUUACAAAUUCCAUAAUUAUUUAUUAUGGAAACAAUCACUUAUUAAUAAAAAAUGACUGGAUAUCACUAAAAUGUCAACUAAAUAACGUCUGAAUUUAAUACCAACCACCUUCUAAUGAGCUAAACAAUAAUAAAAUGAGCUGAUUCAGAAGUUGUGUUCUUUUAUGAAGUUGAGAUAAUCAUGACAGAUGUUUCUUUUUUGGCAAUAUAUCAAAUUUUAUGCGGAAAAUAACAAAUUAAAUCCCUUUCCACUCAGUUCCCCGUUACAAAAACACCUCUCCAGGCAGCGUGUUAAUUCCAGAUCACAUGACCUGCUCAUUUAGUUUCUUUUUUGGUUAUUUUCAGUCCGUUUUGUUGACAUUUUAGGUCUUUUUGUGGUCAUUUUGUGCACUUUUUUUGGCCCAUUUCAGUCUGUUUGUGAUAAUUUUAAGCGUUUUUAUGGUCAUUUUGCAACUUUUUGUAGCUAUUUUGUGUGUCUCUCGUCAUUUUGUGUCGUUAUAUGAUAAUUAGGUGUCUCACUGUGCCCUUUUGUGUUUUUAUGUGGUCAUUUUGUGUCAUUUUGUACAUUUUGUGGUCCUGUUGUGUCUUUUUGUGGUUGUUUUGUGUGUUUUUGUGCUCAUUUAGUUUCUUUUGUGACCGUUUUCAGUCUGUUUAUGGUAAUUUUACAUGUCUUGUAGUCAUUUUGUGUGUCUCUGUGGUCAUUUUGCAACUUUUUGUAGUUAUUUUGUGUGUCUCUCAUCAUUUUAUGUCUUUAUAUGAUAAUUAAGUGUCUCACUGUGCCCUUUUGUGCUUUUAUGUGGUCAUUUUGUGUCAUUUUGUACAUUUUUGUGGUCCUGUUGUGUCUUUUUGUGGUUGUUUUGUGUGUUUUUGUGCUCAUUUAGUUUCUUUUGUGACCGUUUUCAGUCUGUUUAUGGUAAUUUUACAUGUCUUGUAGUCAUUUUGUGUGUCUCUGUGGUCAUUUUGCAACUUUUUGUAGUUAUUUUGUGUGUCUCUCAUCAUUUUAUGUCUUUAUAUGAUAAUUAGGUGUCUCACUGUGCCCUUUUGUGCUUUUAUGUGGUCAUUUUGUGUCAUUUUGUACAUUUUUGUGGUCCUGUUGUGUCUUUUUGUGGUUGUUUUGUGUGUUUUUGUACUCAUUUUGUUUCUUUUGUGAUAGUUUUCAGUCUGUUUAUGGUAAUUUUACAUAUUUUGUGGUCAUUUUACAACUUUUUGUACUUAUUUUGUGUGUCUCUCGUCAGUUUGUGUCUUUAUAUGAUAAUUAUGUGUCUCAUUGAGUCAUUUUGUGUCUUUUCCAGCCUUUUUUCCUCAUUUUGUGUUUCUUAGUUUGCAGUCUGCACUAUAUUACUCAUCGUCAUAUACAAUUUAAGUGCAUCUUUUUAUCUUUAGACUAAAUUAAUCCGUGGCUGUUUUUGCUUUGAAUCUUGAACCCUUUAACUUUCUGCUGAACAGGAGAGGAGUUUUGGUGCAACAACCUGAUGUGUUUCUGACAGAAGGACAGAUACACAAUACCACAUAAUAGCCCGGGGUCAGGCUUAGGGUUGACUCGCGUCCUGUUGCAGACAGAAGGCGUACUUUGUCACCUUUGGCCCCUUUUUAGAAGCUCGCUAGCCUGUUGCUUAUCUGCAGGGCAUCUCCAGCCAAUGGCCUCAACGGACAUAGAUGAGCCAGAAAGACAGAACCGGUGGAAACUAUGAGGAAAUCUGUGACGGUGACAGAGAAAAAAGAGAUAUUGUGGGUGGACAUCUGAGCUCUCAGAGAAUGCUGCAGGUCAGGUAACAUCUGCAGAAGCUAAUUUGGCUUCAGUUAUCGGUCUGUUAAUGUUAGUUCUUGGUUGAACUUAAAAUGAUAGACUGAAACAGUUUUAUUUACUGCAUUGGUCAUGCAUCUGGUUUAUAUUAGGAAGUAAAAGAUUCCGUCUUCGUUGUGAUGAGAGAAGAGAACACACAGUCCUCCUUCUGGGCUUGGCUGACAUGAAGCUUCACAAGACUGAUCCCACAACGGAUCAUUUCAAGUUUGUGCAUUUCCCCCUAUCAAUUAUGGAACCAGGUAAUGAAUUUAGAUCUGUUUACAGGUCAACAAGUAGUAUUAGUACUUUUAAUUUGCUAAUUUUAUUGUUGUUUGUUUGUGGAGAUCAUCCAGUGUGUUUAUGUCACCACCAGUGUGACUGUUUCUGUUUUUUAAUGGGAUUUAAAUAUAUUUUCAGUGCAGAGAUGGAACACAGUUAUGAUGUAGACAACCAUAAGCAGCUCCAAAUCUGAAUUUGCUAAACAAAAGUAAAAUGUUCUACAGAAUGUCACAAUGGAAGCAACAUGGAAGAAAAAGAUAGAAGUGAAAACAUGGUGAACAUAGAGAGCCCUCUAGUGUUACAUUAACGUUACUGCACGCAGAUCACAGCGAUGAGGCUGAAAACCGAACUAACAAAGUGAUUAAUGACAAUAUUUAGCAUCAAUUAUAAGGGGUGGAGAAAUAACUGGUGCAAUCUCUGUGAAAUUUAGAGUUUGGGCCUGAAAGAAGAAAAAGUAGAAGAAGAAGAAGUAGAAGAAGAAGGAGGAGGAGGAGGAGAAGAAGAAGAAGAUGAAGAAGAAGAAAAAGUAGAAGAAGAAAGAGGAGGAGGAGGAGGAGGAGGAAGAGAAGAAGAAUGAGAUGAUGAAGAAGAAGAAAACAGAGGAAGAGAACAAGAAGAAUAAGAAGGAGGAGGAGAAGAAGAAGAUAAAUGGAGCAGAUCGAGAUGAAGAAUGUAGAACAAUGCGAACAAUACAUAAAGAGAAGACGGAGAGAAAGGUGGGAUCAGGAUGAAGAGAGAAGGAGAUGGAAGUCUGAAAAGAAAAGGAAAAAGAAAGAUGUUGAUGAUGGUGGACCGACCAAAGAACAGCAAAAGGAUGAAGAAAAAGAAAGAAGAGAAUGAUGAGAAGAGGACGGAUAAAAGCUAAAUCUCAGUCCUCUCCUGAAGGCGGAGAACUCCUGGACCAGAACAAACGGAUCUGAUGUGACGUCGCUGAUGUAGAACGUCGCUCGAGCUGAUCUUGAAGCUUCGAUGAGAAACUGAAAGCAUCACAACCAUGAAACAACACAUUUGGAAUCUUACGGCCUAUAUCCACACUGACUGACUCUGUUGCUGUAAAGGAGCUCUUCCUGGGGAUGUUGAAAUGUUCAGCGCUGAUGACAAACACGAGCCCUCUGAAAUAUAUUCUGCUGCUGUAUGUUCUGUCCCAGCCCUGUAUUUUAGAUGCUAAAUUGUGCCUAUAUGAUGAGAAGGGAAAGAGCCCGGCUGAAAAACUGUUUCCUCCUCUCUGAUUGGACGAUGGGCUUGUUGGGAUGUAUGGAGGCUCAAAAAUAUACAACUCUCUGGGUUGUUUGUCAGAGAAAGAUCUCGCUUACAUGUAAAUAAACUGCUAUCUUUAAGUCUGUGUACUUUAUUGCUAUUAAAUCUGACUGUGAUCUUUCCCUAAACAUAAUCAAGUCCUGUUAGUGUCAAAUAUAACCAUAAAACAGGCGAAUGCCUCAUGAAUUAUCAGUGUUUUAAAGUAAACUAAAUGUAGUUUCAACUACAGAACACAUUUUCCGUUACAGUUCAGUUGUGUGGGAACGUCGUUUGUGGGAGUCGGGCUUCAUAUUUUGAUGUGCAGCACACAACACAUGGUUCACAGGUGUGAGCUUCAUUCCAGUGAGGCUGCUCAAAGCCAGCUGCUGUGCUGCAAAAUGGUCCGCUUUGACAACACAGAUCCACAUUAAAUAAUGUACACAACUGUUAAAAGUUUGGGGUCAUCCAGAUAAUUCCAUGUUUUCCAUAAAACUCCCACUUUUAUCCAUGUGCUAACAGAACUGCACAAGGGUUUUCUAACCAUCAAUGAGCCUUUCAACACCAUUAGCUAACACAAUGUAGCAUUAGAACACAGGAGUGAUGGCUGCUGGAAAUGUUCCUCUGUACCCCGAUGGAGAUAUUCCAUUAAACAUCAGCUGUUUACAGCUAGAACAGUCAUUUACCACAUUAACAAUGUCCACACUGGAUUUAUCAUUCA